UUGUUCCUACAAUAAAGUCCGUGGUUGUGAGUAUGAGACCUAAUGUCCUACCAUGCUGUCCCCUAUUUCUAUUCAAGAGUCAUACCAAAUGCUAAGUUAUACUUUCUUCAAUAAAAUAAAAAGAAAAAGAUUUAAAUAACACUGCCCCCGCGCCCCUCAAUUCUCUUGGUUUUCUGAAAUCAGAAUGAAUCAACACAACCAAUAAGGAACCUGCUAGAAACUUGUAUCCCAGAGUCGAAGUAUCUGGAAAGACUAAUCCAUUUCUGAUUUUUUUUUUUAAAGCUAUGAAGCCGCAGCCCUGUUUACAUUCCAGUGAAGUAGUUUAGUAAUUUAUAGCUAAUUUGUCAAUGGGCAUGCAGCUGUAGGCUGUGCAGUUUGAAAACAAAAAAAGAAUAUACCUCUCCCUUCAUGUUUACAUAGGCUCUGAAAGCCUGGUGUAGCGCAGGAUGCGAGCCCCCAGAGUCAUUAGGAAGGUCCACCAGCCUCUGAGGGUGGAGGGAUGUUUGCAUUAUAACCCAACACAUCAUUAAGGACACAAUUGUUAUUUAAUGUGGCACAAUCAUCUUUCUACCCUUCGUGAAAUGCACUUAAUUCUAUUUUGUGCUGAUUUCUCCUUCCUCAAAUCCCCUCUAUAUCCUCCCAGAAGGACCACAGCUACUGUUGGUGAGGAUGGCAGUACCCGGAGCCAAUGCAGACACCAUUCAUCCAUCUGCAGGCACCGCAGGGGCCAGCGGCCAGACCACCACUUCCCAGUCCCGGAGGCUGUGGCAUCUAUAAAUAACAUUGUAGCACUACAUAAGGUGAGAGAAACCAGUUCUCCACAGAGUGUGCAAUGAAGAAUUUUGAAUUAAAAGGGGUUUAAAUGGUAGUUUGGUUUCAAUAGUAAAAUUAAAAAGAAGAUCAAACAGAUGUUGCUCUGAUAGCUGGAUUCCUAAGGAAAUCAACUAUAGAUUUCAUAAAGUACUGAUUACUGGGCUACAUAAUCAGCAUGAUUUUGCCAGUAUCUAAAAGCCAUUAGGAAAGGCGAGAGGUAUCAAACACACUGUAUCCAGUGUGUGCUGCUGUCUCCCCUGAAAUCUCCACGCAGAUCAUUCUGUAUAACUUAAUUAGCGAAGUUAAAAUUAAGAUGAGACUCCAGUGUGUUUAGGCGAAACAAUUUCUGUGAGAGGAUACUUCAUUAAAACAUUUAAUAAUGCAACAACUUCUGCUUAUCAAACAGCUUGCUGAAAGAAAAAAAUAUUUUUUUGCCAAUUAAUAAAA
ensembl:lincRNA Gm28140 predicted gene 28140